GUGUGGUGACAGGUAUACAGGCAUGAUGUGGAGGAUGAUGAGGUCCUAGACCCCAUAUGGAAUUAAGGUAAUCUGAGUGACGUGUGCAGUUCAGAGGAAGAGGUGGUAGUCGCGCAGCGCCAGCCACACAUCACAAAAGGGAGCAUGGUG